CCGACCGGCGCACGGGUGAGUAACGCGUAUGCAACUUACCUAUCAGAGGGGGAUAACCCGGCGAAAGUCGGACUAAUACCGCAUGAAGCAGGGGCCCCGCAUGGGGAUAUUUGCUAAAGAUUCAUCGCUGAUAGAUAGGCAUGCGUUCCAUUAGGCAGUUGGCGGGGUAACGGCCCACCAAACCGACGAUGGAUAGGGGUUCUGAGAGGAAGGUCCCCCACAUUGGACUGAGACACGGCCAA
rnacentral:rRNA from 1 species